AAAAUUUGAGAAAUUUGCGCAAAGUUUUACAAAAUUAGCGUUUUAUCGAAUGAUCGCAUCGUUUCUUUCAGCGAUUUCCUGCCAUUUAUCGAGUAACUCUGUAAUUGCCUCGCCGAAGAACGUUUUCCCUUUUUCAGCAAUCGAUUCUUUCGAAUAGCUUUUUCACGCCUCUACGUAUUUGAUUCCUUGCCAUUAAAAAGCUUUUACAGAGAUGAAAUUUUUGGAGAGUAGACGAUAGUCGAGGACGAAUAACGUAGCUAUUUUAUCUUUUUUUUUUCUCUCUUUUAAUUAUUAUUUCAUUAAAGUCGCAUCGCCUACCAUGGUCAUUAGCGACUAUUUGCCAACGACACACGGAGUCGCCCAUCCGUGCUAAUUUGAUAAUUUGAUAAGCAGGAUGGGGGUGAACGUUCCAGUUAAGAUCCAAUAUCUUUCGCUUGUUCUUCAUCGAUGCACAAAGUAACGUUAUCUCGUUGGAAAACGACACCUUUCCCCUUAAUCGAUCCCGAUUUUUUCGUUUAAACGUUUUUACGCUUAAUACUCUACGAAAGAUACUUUAUCGUUGUUUAGUAGAAAUAUAACAUAACGUAACGUAAUAAAUACAUAAUCCUCUUUCAGUCUUAUCGAAUACACGAUAGUACGUAGUAUGUGUACGUAGUAUCGAUAAAGAUGAAAAACGAUACGCAUUUUUCAAACGAUGCAACAUUUCUACGUCUCAUCGAUCGAAUAACCAAUCCGUUCUUGUUUUAUAUUUUUGCCCUAACUUUUUAAUUCGGCGUUUAUUAGCUUCUAUGCUCUUUUUGCUUAGUCGUAGAAUAUACCGAUACCGCUAUCCGGUGGGAAAAAAUCUCGGACGUCCCACGUAAAUGUUCUAUACGCUUGAUUCGGAUUUUUCAAUUUCAACGUGUCACAAGCGUUUAAGUUUUGAUCGCGUUAUUUCCGUAUACCCUUGCCUGUCCCGUAUAACAUCGACACGUUCGAUAAUUUUAUCAAAAUGUUCAAAUAAAAGACCUGCAAUUCCUGGAAUAUACAGCGAAAUAUAAUCGAAAACAGAAUACUCGCUAUAACGAUUACGCGAAGCAACUUUCUGCUUGUUUUUCUAAAAUUAUAAAUAUGCAUAAGUCUCGGUAAACUACAUAGUCGUUAUUCGUUGGAAUAAAUAUCUGCGAGUUAAUACCGUUUUUUUUUCCCUCCAACGUGAUUUACGAUAGUCAGCUUGCCACUUAAGUAGGAAAAAAGCUUCGCGAUAAAUCGAUAAUCGUAUCGAGAAGAAGAAAUUCCACGUAACAACUGCAAAGGGUUGGAAACGAAGUUUCGUUCGAUCGUACGCACGAGUGUCAUCGUAGACAAUUAAACGCGUCCUUUGUUUCAGCGAGAAUCGACGUUACGCGAGCACAUUGGUCACGGAACGUUUGUGAUUUUUCGUUCGUAGCGUUCGUGCCAUUUCAUCCAGACGGAUAAAACUCGUCUACGAGGGUAACGAACGAUUCGGCCCCUGAUUUCUAAGCUCGUACACGAACAACCUAGUAGUUUCUACCUGUUAUGUCGUGCACUUAAUGUUAAGUAACGUCGUAGCAGCGGUAUGCGUCUGUCGUUGAUUAAGGACCGGUUAAUUAUCCCGUUUAAUUACGCGACUAUGCCGAGAAACUUAUUCCUUCCGCUACAUCCUCUCGAAAGUGCAAAUAGCUUCUUGCAUAAUUUAAACGUCGUAGCGUUCGCGACACGGCGGGCGGGGGGCGUGUUUGCCGUAAAAAAGCGGAAUAAAACAUAGAUUUAAUUCGAGUAACCAAAGUUCUUGAUUCUUACGAUGGUCUUUUACGCUUCGAAUUUCGUUUUCGUCGGGUGACUCGUGUACGAACGAAAAAUCCAUGUUCACGCGCCAUGUUCUUAGCAUCGUGGAUAUUGGCUAGAUACGUCGCAUAUAUGUAUUUCCACGCGUUUAAGCGAUGUUUGCCGCUUCUUCUCUUUUCCCCCGUUUUUUUUUCUCCUUGUUUCUUCGACGUUGUGCGUCCUGUUUAAACGUUAAACGUACCGCGUGAAAGUCUCAGACCACGUGCCAAAUCUUUGCUAUACGUUAAACUCGAGAAUCGACGGUCAGUUUGUUAUUGAUCGAGCUUUUAAAAUAUUCGGUGCGACGGUAGCGUCGUUUCCUUUGCGAACACACUCGUGUCUGUUAUUUUUCGUGGCACGCGGAGAGGGUUUGCCAAAAUGCGUUGAAACUAGUAACGUGGAUGGUCUAAGAUUUUUGUGCGACGCUAUAAAC